ACGGAAGUGACGAUAUUGCGUCUGAUUGGUUAAAGGCUCAAAUGACGAAAGUUUCCUCUUUCGUCAUUUGAGCCUCUAACCAAUCAGACGCGAUAUCGUCAC
rnacentral:pre_miRNA from 1 species